UACGAAGGGGGCUAGCGUUGUUCGGAAUUACUGGGCGUAAAGCGCGCGUAGGCGGAUUGUUAAGUUCGUUGUGAAAGCCCCGGGCUCAACCUGGGAACUGCAAUGGAAACUGGCGGGCUUGAGUGUGGCAGAGGGGGGUGGAAUUCCGCGUGUAGCAGUGAAAUGCGUAGAGAUGCGGAGGAACACCGAUGGCGAAGGCAGCCCCCUGGGCCAACACUGACGCUCAGGCACGAAAGCGUGGGGAGCAAACAGG
rnacentral:rRNA from 1 species